rnacentral:rRNA from 1 species
UAGGGAAUCUUCCGCAAUGGACGCAAGUCUGACGGAGCAACGCCGCGUGAGUGAAGAAGGAUUUCGGUUCGUAAAACUCUGUUGUUAGAGAAGAACAGCGCAUAGAGUAACUGUUAUGCGUGUGACGGUAUCUAACCAGAAAGCCACGGCUAACUACGUGCCAGCAGCUGCGGUAAUACGUAGGUGGCAAGCGUUGUCCGGAUUUAUUGGGCGUAAAGCGAGCGCAGGCGGUCAAUUAAGUCUGAUGUGAAAGCCCCCGGCUCAACCGGGGAGGGUCAUUGGAAACUGGUUGACUUGAGUGCAGAAGAGGAGAGUGGAAUUCCAUGUGUAGCGGUGAAAUGCGUAGAUAUAUGGAGGAACACCAGUGGCGAAGGCGACUCUCUGGUCUGUAACUGACGCUGAGGUUCGAAAGCGUGGGUAGCAAACAGG